GUGAGUAUAGUUUAUUAAAACCCUAGUCUGUGACUCUAGAAAUGGGGGUUAAUCACCCCCUACCCACC
rnacentral:tRNA from 1 species